UGCUUUGUAGCUAAGUUGGGUAUAGCAGCGGAUUCAUACUCCGCGUGUCGUGGGUUCAAAUCCCACCGGAACGG
rfam:Oscillibacter valericigenes Sjm18-20 DNA, complete genome.